CAGAAGCGUAUAUUAAUGUUGCUGCAGUUAAAACGCUCGUAGUUGGAUCUUGGAGGAGAAUUGGGAUCUGUCCGCCUGAAGGCGAGUAUGGACUCAUUCCCUCUAUAUUUGGUGGUAAUGCACUCUGGGCCUUAACUGGUUCUAGGGUGGGCUGGAGUGGCGACACGAAGGCACGGGCGAGCGGCACACGACGGCGUGGGGGCAACUCUGCGUCGGGUGAGUCGACGCGUCAGCAUUUCACCUCUUUUACUUUGAAAAAAAUAGAGUGCUCAAAGCAGACCUUGGGGUCAUUGAAUAAUUCAGCAUGGGAUAAUAGAACAAGAGACUUUAGCUCAUUUUGUUGGUAUUUUGAGUUUGGUUUAAUGAUUAAAAGGGACAGUCGGGGUGGUUUGUAUUGAAAAGUCAGAGGUGAAAUUCUUGGAUUUUUUCAAGACAAACUGCUGCGAAAGCUAUCCACUAGGAUGCUUUCAUUAA
rnacentral:rRNA from 1 species